AUUGAACGCUGGCGGCAGGCUUAACACAUGCAAGUCGAGCGGGGUGAUGGUGCUUGCACUAUCACUUAGCGGCGGACGGGUGAGUAAUGCUUAGGAAUCUGCCUAUUAGUGGGGGACAACAUCUCGAAAGGGAUGCUAAUACCGCAUACGUCCUACGGGAGAAAGCAGGGGAUCACUUGUGACCUUGCGCUAAUAGAUGAGCCUAGGUCGGAUUAGCUAGUUGGUGGGGUAAAGGCCUACCAAGGCGACGAUCUGUAGCGGGUCUGAGAGGAUGCUCCGGCACACUGGGACUGAGACACGGCCCAGACUCCUACGGGAGGCAGCAGUGGGGAAUAUUGGACAAUGGGGGGAACCCUGAUCCAGCCAUGCCGCGUGUGUGAAGAAGGCCUUAUGGUUGUAAAGCACUUUAAGCGAGGAGGAGGCUCUUUUGGUUAAUACCCAAGAUGAGUGGACGUUACUCGCAGAAUAAGCACCGGCUAACUCUGUGCCAGCAGCCGCCGUAA
rnacentral:rRNA from 1 species